rnacentral:rRNA from 1 species
CAGGCCUAACACAUGCAAGUCGAGGGGUAAAUAGGUAGCAAUACUUAUGAGACCGGCAAACGGGUGCGGAACACGUACGCAACCUUCCUUAGAGCGGGGAAUAGCCCAGAGAAAUUUGGAGUAAUACCCCAUAGCAUUUUGAGAAAGCAUUUUCUCUUUAUUAAAGAUUCAUCACUCUAAGAUGGGCGUGCGGCUGAUUAGGUAGUUGGCGGGGUAAUGGCCCACCAAGCCUACGAUCAGUAGCUGAUGUGAGAGCAUGAUCAGCCACACGGGCACUGAGACACGGGCCCGACUCCUACGGGAGGCAGCAGUAGGGAAUAUUGGACAAUGGGCGCAAGCCUGAUCCAGCCAUGCCGCGUGGAGGAUGAAGGUCCUCUGGAUUGUAAACUUCUUUUAUUUGGGAAGAAAUGUAGAUAUUCUUAUUUACUUGACGGUACCAGAUGAAUAAGCACCGGCUAACUCCGUGCCAGCAGCCGCGGUAAU